rnacentral:rRNA from 1 species
AGGACGAACGCUGGCGGCGUGCUUAACACAUGCAAGUCGAGCGGUAAGGCCUUUCGGGGUACACGAGCGGCGAACGGGUGAGUAACACGUGGGUGAUCUGCCCUGCACUUCGGGAUAAGCCUGGGAAACUGGGUCUAAUACCGGAUAUGACCUCCUAUCGCAUGGUGGGUGGUGGAAAGAUUUAUCGGUGCAGGAUGGGCCCGCGGCCUAUCAGCUUGUGGUGGGUAAUGGCCUACCGAAGGCGACGACGGGUAGCCGACCUGAGAGGGUCGACCGGCCGACACUGGGACUGGACGACACGGCCCAGACCUCCCGUACGGGAGGCGAGCGAGGUAGGGGAAUAGUUGGCAACGAACGUAGGGACCGAAACGGCCUGAAUGGCAGCGACGCCGGCGUGGAGGAUGGACGGUCCGUUACGGGUUACGUUAACCGUCGUUAC